AUGAACGCUGGCGGCGUGCCUAAUACAUGCCAGUCGAGCGAACAGACGAGGAGCUUGCUCCUCUGACGUUAGCGGCGGACGGGUGAGUAACACGUGGAUAACCUACCUAUAAGACUGGGAUAACUUCGGGAAACCGGAGCUAAUACCGGAUAAUAUAUUGAACCGCAUGGUUCAAUAGUGAAAGACGGUUUUGCUGUCACUUAUAGAUGGAUCCGCGCCGCAUUAGCUAGUUGGUAAGGUAACGGCUUACCAAGGCAACGAUGCGUAGCCGACCUGAGAGGGUGAUCGGCCACACUGGAACUGAGACACGGUCCAGACUCCUACGGGAGGCAGCAGUAGGAAUCUUCCGCAAUGGGCGAAAGCCUGACGGAGCAACGCCGCGUGAGUGAUGAAGGUCUUCGGAUCGUAAAACUCUGUUAUUAGGGAAGAACAAAUGUGUAAGUAACUAUGCACGUCUUGACGGUACCUAAUCAGAAAGCCACGGCUAACUACGUG
rnacentral:rRNA from 1 species